rnacentral:lncRNA from 1 species
CAUAAUAAUGGUUACAUGUUCCUAAGUAAAAUAAAAUUAAGUGGUAAGUCUUCUUUUAAGUGAGAAUGCUGGAUUCCCACACUGAAGGCAAAUGGUCUUUGGGUUAUUUGUAUUUCUCCUUUUCCCUCCUAGCUAUGAAAACAAGAUAGUUGGUUUAUGAACUCUGUAUAUGAGAGAGGACCCAGGAAGGAUUACAGAAGCUGGAUUAGUAAUGAUAACAGCAGCCAAAACAAAUGAAGCAGGAUGCCUGGACAGGAAACAAGCAAAGAGGACCCAGAAGGAAGAAUUUAAUUCUAAAUUUUACUUCAUCAAGUAUUUUCAUUAAAUCCCAUGGAGUGAUACCACUGCCUCAUAGACACACUUUUAGGAAGCAGAGUGGUGAGGAGAGAAUGAAGCUGAAAAAGCAGCCCAGACCAUGGCAGCACCUGCAAACAUUGGAUUCAAAUAGUCAAUGUGGAAGCAAAGAGAAGUUACGAGAGGAAUAGUCACUGCUGUCAAGUGUCCACACAAAUUCGUAGCAGCCACGCAUUGGUAACGUGGUAGUAACAGAUACAGAAAGAAGAUGAAGAAUGUGAUCACUUGUGAACACACGAGAGUCACCCAGGAAACCUGACAAUCAGUCAGGAUUGCUGCUGCUAAUAGUGGGUGGUUUGAAUAUGAGGCAUUUAUUUUCUCAUAGUUCUAGAGGCAGCAGUCCAAGAUCAAAGUGUUGGCAGGCUUGGUUUCUUCCAAGGUUGCCCCUCUUUGCCUGCAGAUGACUGCUCUCCUGCUGUGUCCUCCAGUGUCUUUUCCUCUGUGUGCACACAGACCUGGUAUCCCUCUGCCCACAGGAGUGAAAAUGAAUUAGGACUCCAUCAUCACAACUUCAGUGUUUCUUAGACCCUAUCUCCAAAUAUAGAUAUAUUGGGGCCGGGGAUUUAGCUCAGUGGUUUCGCUGCCUGCUGCACAAGCGCAAGGACCCGAGUUUGAUUCCCAGGACCAAAAAAUAAAUAAAUAAAUAAAUCUCAAAACAAACAAACAAAAAUACCAAAUAUAGUCAUAUUGGGGAUGAUAGAUUUAAUAUAUGAAUUUG